rnacentral:rRNA from 1 species
AGUGAACGCUGGCGGUAGGCCUAACACAUGCAAGUCGAACGGCAGCACAGUAAGCGCUUGCUCUUACGGGUGGCGAGUGGCGGACGGGUGAGGAAUACAUCGGAAUCUACUUUUUCGUGGGGGAUAACGUAGGGAAACUUACGCUAAUACCGCAUACGCCCUACGGGUGAAAGCAGGUGAUCUUCGGACCUUGCGCGAUUGAAUGAGCCGAUGUCGGAUUCGCUAGUUGGCGGGGUAAAGGCCCACCAAGGCGACGAUCCGUAGCUGGUCUGAGAGGAUGACCAGCCACACUGGAACUGAGAAACGGUCCAGACUCCUACGGGAGGCAGCAGGGGGGAAUAUUGGACAAUGGGGGCAAGCCUGAUCCAGCCAUACCGCGUGGGUGAAGAAGGCCUUCGGGUUGUAAAGCCCUUUUGUUGGGAAAGAAAAGCAGCAGGUUAAUACCCCGCUGUUCUGACGGGACCCAAAGAAUAAGCACCGGCUAACUUCGUG